rnacentral:rRNA from 1 species
ACUCCUACGGGAGGCAGCAGUGGGGAAUAUUGGGCAAUGGAGGAAACUCUGACCCAGCGACGCCGCGUGCGGGAUGAAGGCCUUCGGGUUGUAAACCGCCUUCAGUAGGGAAGAAGCGAAAGUGACGGUACGUACAAAAGAAGCACCCGCUAACUAUGUGCCAGCAGCCGCGGUAAUA